rnacentral:tRNA from 2 species
GGUCAGUUGUCCGAGUGGUCGAAGGAGCACGCCUGGAAAGUGUGUAUACGGCAACGUAUCGAGGGUUCGAAUCCCUCACUGACCGCCA